GUCGUGAGAUGUUGGGUUAAGUCCCGCAACGAGCGCAACCCCUACCGUGUGUUGUAUCACUCACACGGGACUGCCGAGAGAAACUCGGAGGAAGGUGGGGAUGACGUCAAGUCAGCAUGGCCCUUACGUCCUGGGCUACACCCACGCUACAAUGGCCGGUACAACGGGCUGCGAAACCGCGAGGUGGAGCGAAUCCCUUAAAGCCGGUCUCAGUUCGGAUCGUAGGCUGCAACUCGCCUGCGUGAAGCCGGAGUUGCUAGUAACCGCCGGUCAGCAUACGGCGGUGAAUAUGUUCCCGGGCCUUGUACACACCGCCCGUCACGUCAUGAAAGCUGGUAACACCCGAAGCCGGUGGGCCAACCGCAAGGAGGCAGCCGUCGAAGGUGGGAUCGGUGAUUGGGGACGAAGUCGUAACAAGGUAGCCGUACCGGAAGGUGCGGCUGGAUCACCUCCUUUCUAGGGAGUCGUCAGUCGAGGUCCUCGGUGGGACGUCGACGCUAAGGACUUCCAGGUUGAUCGCACGGUCGAUACGCGUUCCCAGCCAGGGUGGGGCGCGACGGCGGGUCUUUCGGGACCCGACGGGACCGGAGGCGACCUUGGCGAAUCACCGAACCGUUCACACGUCUGGGACGGAGUUCCUGCCACUUUUCAAGUGUUACGGUGCAGCCGCUGGCCAUCUGGCCGGCACGCCCCCGGCGGGCGUUUAGCUCAGCUGGUUAGAGCACUGCCCUGAUAAGGCAGAGGUCUCUGGUUCGAGUCCAGAAACGCCCACCAUCCUUCGUCCACGAUCGAACGCACGGGGACGUAGCUCAGCUGGUAGAGCAUCUCCUUUGCAAGGAGAGGGUCAGGAGUUCGAGUCUCCUCGUCUCCACCACUCCACCGGACGAGCCGUCCACCUACCGGAGGAUCUGGAACCUGAGCAAGGCAGCACCUCAGCCGAAUUGAAGAGCUCGGGUCCAACCCCGAGAUGACCCUCGGGUCCCCAGGCGUGCUGUCGAUCGUGACGGCUCGGAGGAACUGGUCCUCGAGCCGUCAUCGUGUGUCUGGCCCGCAUCGAUCACCUGAUCCGUGUCCUCCCCCGGGGAGGCCACCGACCAGCGGAUCGCUGGAACGGACGAGUCACAGCGACUCGAACGUGGGGGCCGGUUCGAACCGGCCGCACCUUACCAAUCGGAAUAUGUUUCGGCAAUCGAAGAACUUCGAUUUCGCCGAGUUAAGGAUCAUCCCGAUCCAAAGAACCCCAUGGGCUGCUGACCGACCUGGUCAGAGGCUGAAGGGGUCAAGCUACAAAGGGCACGGGGUGGAUGCCUUGGCGCCAAGAGCCGAUGAAGGACGUGGCAGGCUGCGAAAAGCUUCGGGGAGUCGCGAGCAGACGUUGAUCCGGAGAUGU
rnacentral:sRNA from 1 species